rnacentral:tRNA from 1 species
UGCAUCGGCUGGGAAUCGAACCCAGGCCGCCCGCGUGGCAGGCGAGCAUUCUACCACUGAACCACCGAUGC